CAGGUUUCCCGACUUUUCUUUUGACAAAAAAGUUCAAUUUGUAGGGAAAAUGCAUAAAUUAAUUCAAGCUACAAGAGUGUAGGUCUAAUGACAAUCUCCAAAUGUCAUUACACCUACAAGUGUUGGUGUUUUGUAACAGAUCUCUUUGCAUUCAUCCAAUGGCUGGUGCACUGUUUGGAUAUUGGAAUUAUUUUGGGGAUGGUUCGGUAUGAUUCCUUUGGUUUUCCAUAAAAAGCUGGGAAAAAAGCUUCCCUGUGGUAGGCUAAGUGGUUAACAUGAUACGCCUCCGCCUGUAGUAUUUGAUGGGCGGGGUAAAUUUGUACAGUUGAAGCUGCUUUACUCAACUCUGCCUCACAACUAAAGAGUUAAGUUAGCUUCUUAGCUAGUUCUAAAAAGCUUUAGUGUUAUUAGCCGUAGCCUAUUUAGCAAGCUCGAAUCUGCCAUGCGACGAUUUAUAUCAGAAAUGGACUUCGCCAAACAAAUCCAAGAGAGGAAAAAGAGCAAUGAGCAGCAUCAAACUACCAAGCCCAGCAGUGAUGAUGUUGCCGAGCUCCAGCUAGCUCCGCGUGCAGAGCCUACCCACCCAGGAUAAUGGCUCCACAGCCCCGCUGACUGUUCCUGACAAUCUUGGAACAGAGUAGCCAGCCCAGGAGCUGGGUAGGAUAUAGGCGCUGAAGUCAGGCUCAUUCAUGACCUGUAUCUGUGACGAGGGGGAUCUGGAGCUGAUCUAUGCUAACAUGCCAAACAUCUCAGAAAGGACAAAAGAUGGAGGACAGAAGUGUCCUCUGACUGAAAGACAGGUUGAUACUGAUGUCUGAAUUGGGACAGACCUUGCACUCAAGCAUUAAAAUUAUAAAAGACAUCGA